rnacentral:rRNA from 1 species
GAUGAACGCUGGCGGCGUGCCUAAUACAUGCAAGUCGAGCGAACAGACGAGGAGCUUGCUCCUCUGACGUUAGCGGCGGACGGGUGAGUAACACGUGGAUAACCUACCUAUAAGAAUGGGAUAACUUCGGGAAACCGGAGCUAAUACCGGAUAACAUGUUGAACCGCAUGGUUCAACAGUGAAAGACGGUCUUGCUGUCACUUAUAGAUGGAUCCGCGCCGCAUUAGCUAGUUGGUAAGGUAACGGCUUACCAAGGCAACGAUGCGUAGCCGACCUGAGAGGGUGAUCGGCCACACUGGAACUGAGACACGGUCCAGACUCCUACGGGAGGCAGCAGUAGGGAAUCUUCCGCAAUGGGCGAAAGCCUGACGGAGCAACGCCGCGUGAGUGAAGAAGGUCUUCGGAUCGUAAAACUCUGUUAUUAGGGAAGAACAAAUGUGUAAGUAACUAUGCACGUCUUGACGGUACCUAAUCAGAAAGCCACGGCUAACUACGUG